AUAUAAUAAGUAAUAAGUAAUAAUAAUAAUAAGUAAUAAUAAUAAUCAAACAGAAAUAUAAAAAAUUCGCGCAGUAUUAUCAAGCAGGAAUUAUGUUGGAGGAAAAAUGAUGAAUAGUAAUGAUUGAGUCAAUGUGAGUGGCGCGAAUCAAAAGCUCAAUAUAUAUAUGCGUUUCGAGAUUCUUUAUAGUGAAUCACAUCAAUUUCUUGUAUAAAUAAAAUAAAAAUAAACGAGUAAAAGAUUAUAAAAGUAUAUUAUAUUAUAAUAACGCGCUCGAAGCGUCAUUAUUUUGUAGUAAAUGAAGAUUUAUCGAAGUGAGAAAAUCGAUUUCUGUAACUUCGAUUGCAAAAAAUUUACAAAAAAAAAAAAAGAAAAUGUUAUGGUGACAAUCUAUUGAACCGAAACAAUUGAAAUCAUAUUAUAAAAAAUCGCGCAAAAAAAGAGAAAAGAAAGAUAUAAAAAAGAUCUAUCAUUGAAAAAAAGCACGAGAUAUAUAUUCGAGAAAACUAUGCAAAAUGAUGAAUACAUGAAAUCAUAAUUAGAUACCAAGCAUGACGUCAAGCAAGAAUCGUAGAACCAUGUAAGAGAAAUUGAUAUGUAGAAUUUUGUAUGAUUUCAGUAUCAGUGUUAAUAAAGAGUGGAGAGCUAAAAGAAGAUCCAUGUGGAAUUUUUAUGACUUAUCAUUCUACAUAGUCAAUUAUAUUUUCUAUGCAUAUAUUAUGUGAGCAAUGACUAAUUAUUUGCCGUUAAGUGUAUUAGUGAAAGAUAUCGUCAGACUUAUUUGCGUUAGUAUUAUCUACGUCAGCACCGGUUGCUUAGGAUUUACAUAGCAAACAGAUUGACGUGUUAAUAAGUGUAUAAAAGAGAAAUCGCGAUUUUGUGUUUUAUCACAUACUAGUUAUAUCACAUAUAUUCGUUAUAUACAUAGCGAGAAAAAGAUAGAGCAUAUGUAAGUCUUUUUUUGUUACUUCUGUAAAAAAGAAAGAGAGAAGAGAAUAGAACAAGAUAUGUAGAUAAUAAAGCAAAUGUAAUAAAGAACUUAAAAUAGAAAGAUGACUUCGAUUUAAAUUUCGCCUCAAGGAAAUAAACAAAUGAAGAGGAAUCGAAGAGAUUUUCUUUUUUUUUCAAGGAAAUUAUUGUGAUAUGUUUCUAUAAGUCUGAUAGUGUCAUGCUUAUGAUUGUAUAACGCAAAAAGAG